rnacentral:rRNA from 1 species
CCAAUAGCGUAUAUUAAAGUUGCUGCGGUUAAAAAGCUCGUAGUUGAAUUUCGGAAUUGAUGCAUCGGUCGUGCCUUAAGGGCAUGAACUGGUGUAGCCAAUUUCUCACCUUCUGGUGAAUUGUUGAUGUUCUUAAUGGGUGUCUCAAUGAACUAGAAUUUUUACUUUGAAAAAAUUAGAGUGUUUAAAGCAGGCAUUAAUUUGCUUGAAUACAUUAGCAUGGAAUAAUGAAAUAGGACAGUGGUUCCGUUUUGUUGGUUUCUAGGAUCACGUAAUGAUUAAUAGGGACAGUUGGGGGCAUUAGUAUUCAAUUGUCAGAGGUGAAAUUCUUGGAUUUAUUGAAGACUAACUAUUGCGAAAGCAUUUGCCAAGGAUGUUUUCAUUAAUCAAGAACGAAAGUUAGGGGAUCAAAGACGAUUAAGUACGUCGUAGUCCUAACCAUAAACUAUACCGACUAGGAAUCAGACGAUGUUAAUUUUUUAAUGACUCGUUUGGUACCUUACG